UGUAGGGUGGUGUAAGGCACAUAAAGUUUUGGACUUUAAGGUGGUAGAUUAAUCUGUUUCCUACAA
rnacentral:tRNA from 1 species